rnacentral:lncRNA from 1 species
AGUGGGGAGAAGAGAGGGAGGAAGAAGGUGGGGGUGAGAGAGGAGUGAAAACACAGAGAUGAGAAAGAGACCGAAAGGGGAGAAGGGAUGGAUGAUGGUACGAAAUAUAAAAGUUCAGGUUCAAGUUGAUUUUAAUAAAAAGAGGAAAGCAAACCUGCACAACACUGAACAUUUUUAGUAAAAUAGAUGCAAAAUAAGAUGAGUUCAAGGAGAUUUUUAAAAAAAAUUGGUUAUAUACACAACAUGGAUGGUAUCCAAUGAGAGGUAAUGUUAUAAAUUUACACACUUUUUUUUUUCUUUUGUAGAACUGAAUUGUUGAUAAAAAGUUAUUGACUGAAUCCUUAAUUUUCAUUAACGACCAUUACACAAGUUAUGGGAUGAGUCAAAUCAUUUAUAUGAGAGCUGAAGAUCACAAUAUUUCAUAUUAAAUAGAGAAGGAAAUUGUAAUUGUGUGACAUUGGUUCAGUCAAUCGCAUAUUUUACAUGUGCAUAAACUGUUAUAUGAAACAGCAACAAUUCAAACCAUGUGAAACGUUUGAAUGUUUUUAAAAUUUUGUGAAAUGGGCUAGAGUUGGAAAAGAAAAUUAUGAUGGUUGAGAUACUGAAGUGAGAAUGAUAGAUGAAACUUAAAACAAUAUGCUAGUGAGACUGGGAGCAUCAAUCAAAAUACAUGGCAGUGAUGUCAUCCUUUGAAAGAAAAUUGAUUUUUUUCAGCACUAUAUUCCUGAAUCUUCUCAUAUGUCCUACUAUUUAGGGGGUAGAACUUUGUUAUAAAGAUUAUCACAUCUAGGCAUUAUGUCAUACCCCCAUUUGGAGAAAGACAGCAGUUCUAUACCCCAUUUUGCGUUUAUAAAUUUCAAAAAUCAUUUCCAAGCCCAGGGGGCCGUUUCAUAAAGCUGUUCGUAAGUUAAGAGCGAACAACUGGUGAUGUACCAUAAUUUGCCAAUGGUGUUUACCAUUUACCGCAAGACAGGAUCACCAGUCGCUCUUAACUUACGAACAGCUUUAUGAAACACCCGCCCGAUCAACCCCGCUUGGCCAGGUAAACCCCGCUGUCUCAAUUUCUUCCCCACAGGCCAGAUUAGAGCGCUGAGCCAAGGACGAAAUGAUAAACACAGCUGUGCUAUUACUAGAAUGAUGGGAUUGGUAUCAUUUCAUCAGUGGAGGACAGAGGAAAUCUGCUAUGAAGUAUCACAUUGAAAGAGUACACCAAAAGGGGUCCCUGUUGCUCCAUCCAUGGGAUGAUUACCGUGUUGGAUUGUAUGCAUUGUAAUGCUGAAGGGAACCUAAUAAAAACUGACUGUAUAGUAGCUAUGCUCAUCAGUUUAAUAUAACAGUUACAGUUACAGUACUUCUCAGCCAAUCACAAUCAAGGAAAGUUGUCAGAUCUGCAUACAUGUCAGCUAGGCAACAAAUGUUGAUGAAGUUCUCAUAAGGCAGGCCAACCUGCUUGUCAGCUGUGCUAGCUAAGCUGAUGUGUUAGCAGGGAGCCAAUUGAUUUAUCUGUGCUUGUUUUUGACUUGCAAGAUCAUAGAUUGAGCAGUCAUCCCCCCUCUACUUGACAGCUGAUUCAUCUGUGAUCUUUCAAGUAGUGGGUGAGAGGAGGAAAAAGGACAGAAAGGAGAGCAUAAUAACAAGAGUUUUAGUUAAGCUAUACUACUAUUACUCAAUGGAGCAAAAUUUAUGACAUCUUGCAUCAAGCAAUAUCCCUCCCUAGUGAGUUUAUUUCUUCUGUUGUUGUUGUUAUUUCUGUAUAUUUUACUGGAUGGCUAAAGAGUUUUUUGGCCCCCUUUUUUUGUCUCACCUGCAUAGCAGAGUGAGACUAUAGGCACCGCUUUUCCGACAGCGGUAGCGUCAACAUCAAAUCUUAACCUAAGGUUAAGUUUUUGAAAUGUAAAAAUGUUUAUAUUCCGAAAGCCUGAACAUGCAUACAGCACUAAAGAAAGAAUAAAGUAAACGAGCGCAUAACGCAAACUGAAUUAUUUUUCGCGGUUUGGACCUUAUAAGGAAGUACGGGACGUUCGACAUUCUAAAGAACUGCUUACCCAAUAUUGGGUAAAAUGGGAAUAUGAUUGUAUGCUUGCUGGGUAAAGUGAUACUAGUACCAGAUGAAUUUUACGCAAUAUUGCGUUGAAAUAUACCCUUUUAACUUGCAUUUUACCCAACAUGAGGGGGAAUUGCGCAGCAAACAUGCUUGUUCCCUUUUUACCCAAUGUUGAGUAAAUUUUUACUCAAUUUUUUGUCUCACCUGCAAAGCAGAUUGAGAUUAUAGGCGCCGCUUUUCCGACGGCGGCGGCGUAAA